CAUUCCGUUUAAGUCGUAGUCGUCUUUGUUCUUCCAAAUGAACAUAGUUUCUUAAGGAGCUAAGGUUUUGAGCUUCAGUUUUGGCAGCCUCCUCGAAACGCUGCUGCUGGGUCAUAGUCCCCUUCUGUCUGUUCGCACUCGCACUCACAGUAUACUUUCGUCUAGGCUUUGCUUCUUGUAGACGAGUUUCUGUAGAUUGAGCCAUGAGAACAGUGUGCAUUCUCGAACUAGUUCUUCUAGCAGAAGGAUCUACCUUUAUUUUUUUAUAUUUCUUUUUGGGAACCUCCGAAGCGGCAGAGGGAGUAGGGCGCUUUGGAGGUUGUAAAGUUCUUUGAAGAUUCGCAGCGCGAUUUUUUUGAAUUUUUCUCUUUUUAAUGCGCUCUUCAUCACGAAGUAUUUUUUCUACCUCUUCUCCUUCUUCCUCUAGCUUUUUUAGCUCAGCUUCCUCAUCGCUACUCUCGCUCGAUAUUUCAAUGUCACGCUCCGCUUCCUCCUCCUCCUCAAUAUUGUAUUCCUCGUCUUCUUUUUCAAUUUCAGCAUUUUGCUGAGUCAUUCUCAGAUGCUCUUUUUCGAGCAAUUCUCGCAUUUUAUUGCCAGCAUUGGCGCGUCUUGUACGACCAGCAACCAACGAUUCAGUGGCCGA